AAAAAAACCUCUUGUGAUGACAGCGUGUGCAGCUAAAUGUACUGUAGUUUUAGCCUCAUCACUACCUUCUUUCAGUCGAUUCACUCUCCUGAAGUGCAUUUCCUAAUAAGGACCCAAGGACUCGGCUGUAAACAAAGAUGAGUCCAGAUGACGGAGCUGCUUCAGAAAUCCAACGUUUGGCAGAAUGUUCCUUCGCUGACCAACGGUCUCUAUUGCUUGGACCAGGGUGGCCACAGUGGGCGUACUCAAACUGAUUUGGAAAAAAACAGCCGAGACCUUCUUCAUGCACCUGCGCUCAGGCCCCAUAAUUCAAUACAGUGAUUCCCAAAGUGGGGAGUGAGCCCUUCCUAUGGGGCGAGGAGCUACAGCAGGAGGGGACGCAGCAAGGUCCAGAUCCAAGAGUAGAGCCAGGAAGUUCCUGUUGGGGUAGAUGGCUCUCUUCUGGACCAGCUUCUGCAGAGCCUGUUUGAGCGUGAGGUGACGGUGGAUCAUGAGGUAGGCCAGCACCAGUGUGGACGAGCGGCUCAUUCCCAUGAUGCAGUGCACCAGAACUUUCCCUGAGGAAUAGGGGAGCCCGGAGCUAAAAAUAGAGCCAGCGACUCAUCACCUUUGUUCACCUAAGGUACUUUUCUGUAGAAGAGACAAAAUCCCCGUAAUCGCUUCUCAUCCUCUGCUUGAUAAUUCAUUUAAG